AUCUUGCUAGUGAUCCCUGUGUACCUGAGGACUUCCUAGGAACCUGUUCUGCAUAAGUAAAGCAGAGCCAGUGUGUUGGAUUCAGUCUCUAAACAAAGAAGCCGUAAGCUGACUAGAAGCAGCAGUGGAGGUACUUCAUGUAACAUUUCCUCCUGCAAGAAAUCCUUCUUUCGUGUUCUUCACUGUUCUCGUGCACCAAGGAGGAACUAGAACUGUGAUGUUUGUUGAAGUUGAAUUUCACAGAUUCAUGUGGAUAGCUAUGUGGAUGUAUUUCUGUGUUGAAUCUCUCUGAUGUAAUUGUACCGUUAUUUAUCAUCUUAGGAAAUCAUUGCAUUUCAACAACAGCUAGUUUCCAAUCCAUUUUUCUGUUCAUCUUUGUGAUAUGAUCGCUGUUUAGAAGCACAAAAAUCAUCAUAGUUUCAACAUACAAGAAGAACACAGUGCACAGGAAACUAGUGCUUUUAGAACAGAAGACACUGCACAAUGUGAGGUACUGCUGGAGAAGAGUAUCCAAGUACUUUAAUAUCCAGUGAUGCAGAUGUGUUAUCUGCUUUGGUUUUUAAUGUAAUCAAGAUUUUUUUUUUCUUUAUAUUAAAUCACUCAUGGAGGGGAAAAAGAAACACCUUACAGGUUCUGUGACUCACUGCACCCAGGUUCUUCCGAAUUUCCAGUAUGCCUCGAGCUCUGUGUGUCUUUGGAUGGUACUCUUCACCUAUGUUCCUAAUGAAAUGAUUACCUUCUGUAAAUAUCAAGUCUUGUUAAGUGAUCAGCCUCAAUACAAGAGCCCUCUGCAGCUCAAAUCGCACAGAAUAAAAUCUAAAACGGUUACUAUCAGGAGGUUUUCAUUAGAGGAAUGCAAACAAAAUUGUCAAAGUAUAAGAUUAUGUGAUUAUAAUCAAGAGGAAUUAGACAUGGAGAAAGGGGGAAAUGAUAAAAAAGAAAAGCAUCAGAACAUAAAGAACAUCCAUAGAAAGCAAAUGGUUCAAAUUUAUCUUGGGGAGGAAAGUUUAUAGUAACUGGAAAAUCCACAUCAUUUUUGACAUUGUCUGGUAUGAUAAGCUGGUAGUUGAAUAAUAGGCAAGGCAUCAACUACAAGGAUGUUAAUUUCUGUAUUAGAAUAUUCUUUUCCUGCAGAGGUCGUGAUUUACUUCAUUUCAUUUUGAAGGUUGUGAAUUUGUAAAGGGAAUCUGUGAUUGCUCUCUGAUUAAUAAGUAGAGGCUAUUUAAGUGUUAGUUUGAACGGCCCAUGUUUACUAUAACCUCACAGUUUGUAUACCAGUCAAAAUUAAUUUAAAAUCUUACACUUUGCUUUAAGAAGUUUGGGAAAUAAUAGGAAAAUAUACAAACAUUCGAAAAAGGUAGGAAAAGAAAGCAUUGACUAAUAUGGAGAAUAUUGAGGGUGAACAAGAAAAGUGCAUUAUUCAUUUAAACAUUCUGGAAAAUGGGGAAAGGUAUGAGAAAUGAAAGGCGUCUGAAGGAAGCAGAAGGCAUGAAAAGGAGAUCCUAUGCAUGCUUUGUUAUGCGUAGGAUCUUACGGGGGCAGUACUUCUGAAAGUCUUCCAAAUUGCAUUUUUCAUUGGGUUUCAAAGGUUAUGUUGGAUAUUUAUUGUUCAUCCCCCUAUAUGCAUUAAAGUAGCCAUAUUCAUAUCCCUAUAGGGAUUUGUAUCUUGCUUAAAGUCUGUACAGAGAUGACAGAAGAACACCAUGAAUUAACAUAGGCUAUAAACCUUACAAGAGGGUACCAAUUUCCAUCUCUAACUUUAUCAUGCUGUUUACAGAAUGUAUGUCCUCUAAAAUGGAAUGUAGCAGAAAAUCCAUUGGUUAAAAGAAGAAUACAUGAGGAACAAUAAAUGCUUUGAAG
ensembl:lncRNA